rnacentral:rRNA from 1 species
AUACAGAGGGUGCGAGCGUUAAUCGGAAUUACUGGGCGUAAAGCGCGCGUAGGCGGCUUAUUAAGUCAGAUGUGAAAUCCCCGGGCUCAACCUGGGAACUGCAUCUGAUACUGGUAAGCUAGAGUUUUGGAGAGGGAAGUAGAAUUUCAGGUGUAGCGGUGAAAUGCAUAGAGAUCUGAAGGAAUACCAGUGGCGAAGGCGACUUCCUGGCCAAAACCUGACGCUGAGGUGCGAAAGCGUGGGUAGCAAACGGGAUUAGAAACCCCAGUAGUCC